UCUGGUUGAUCCUGCCAGUAGUUAUAUGCUUGUCUCAAAGAUUAAGCCAUGCAUGUCUAAGUACACACGAAUUAAAAGUGAAACCGCAAAAGGCUCAUUAUAUCAGUUAUGGUUCCUUAGAUCGUUAACAGUUACUUGGAUAACUGUGGUAAUUCUAGAGCUAAUACAUGCAAUUAAAACAUGAACCUUAUGGGACAUGUGCUUUUAUUAGGCUAAAACAAGCGAUCGCAAGAUCGUUAUAUUGGUGAACUCUAGAUAACAUGCAGAUCGUAUGGUCUUGUACCGACGACAGAUCUUUCAAAAUGUCUGCCCUAAUCAACUUUUGAUGGUAGUAUCUAGGACUACCAUGGUUGCAACGGGUAACGGGGAAUCAGGGUUCGAUUCCGGAGAGGGAGCCUGAGAAACGGCUACCACAUCUAAGGAAGGCAGCAGGCGCGUAAAUUACCCACUCCCAGCUCGGGGAGGUAGUGACGAAAAAUAACAAUACAGGACUCAUAUCCGAGGCCCUGUAAUUGGAAUGAGUACACUUUAAAUCCUUUAACAAGGACAAUUGGAGGGCAAGUCUGGUGCCAGCAGCCGCGGUAAUUCCAGCUCCAAUAGCGUAUAUUAAAGUUGUUGCGGUUAAAACGUUCGUAGUUGAACUUGUGCUUCAUACGGGUAGUACAACUUACAAUUGUGGUUAGUACUAUACCUUUAUGUAUGUAAGCGUAUUACCGGUGGAGUUCUUAUAUGUGAUUAAAUACUUGUAUUUUUUCAUAUGUUCCUCCUAUUUAAAAACCUGCAUUAGUGCUCUUAAACGAGUGUUAUUGUGGGCCGGUACUAUUACUUUGAACAAAUUAGAGUGCUUAAAGCAGGCUUCAAAUGCCUGAAUAUUCUGUGCAUGGGAUAAUGAAAUAAGACCUCUGUUCUGCUUUCAUUGGUUUUCAGAUCAAGAGGUAAUGAUUAAUAGAAGCAGUUUGGGGGCAUUAGUAUUACGACGCGAGAGGUGAAAUUCUUGGACCGUCGUAAGACUAACUUAAGCGAAAGCAUUUGCCAAAGAUGUUUUCAUUAAUCAAGAACGAAAGUUAGAGGUUCGAAGGCGAUCAGAUACCGCCCUAGUUCUAACCAUAAACGAUGCCAGCUAGCAAUUGGGUGUAGCUACUUUUAUGGCUCUCUCAGUCGCUUCCCGGGAAACCAAAGCUUUUGGGCUCCGGGGGAAGUAUGGUUGCAAAGCUGAAACUUAAAGGAAUUGACGGAAGGGCACCACCAGGAGUGGAGCCUGCCGGCUUAAUUUGACUCAACACGGGAAAACUUACCAGGUCCGAACAUAAGUGUGUAAGACAGAUUGAUAGCUCUUUCUCGAAUCUAUGGGUGGUGGUGCAUGGCCGUUCUUAGUUCGUGGAGUGAUUUGUCUGGUUAAUUCCGAUAACGAACGAGACUCAAAUAUAUUAAAUAGAUAUCUUCAGGAUUAUGGUGCUGAAGCUUAUGUAGCCUUCAUUCAUGUUGGCAGUAAAAUGCUUAUUGUGUUUGAAUGUGUUUAUGUAAGUGGAGCCGUACCUGUUGGUUUGUCCCAUUAUAAGGACACUAGCUUCUUAAAUGGACAAAUUGCGUCUAGCAAUAAUGAGAUUGAGCAAUAACAGGUCUGUGAUGCCCUUAGAUGUCCUGGGCUGCACGCGCGCUACAAUGAAAGUAUCAACGUGUAUUUCCUAGACCGAGAGGUCCGGGUAAACCGCUGAACCACUUUCAUGCUUGGGAUUGUGAACUGAAACUGUUCACAUGAACUUGGAAUUCCCAGUAAGUGUGAGUCAUUAACUCGCAUUGAUUACGUCCCUGCCCUUUGUACACACCGCCCGUCGCUACUACCGAUUGAAUUAUUUAGUGAGGUCUCCGGACGUGAUCACUGUGACGCCUUGCGUGUUACGGUUGUUUCGCAAAAGUUGACCGAACUUGAUUAUUUAGAGGAAGUAAAAGUCGUAACAAGGUUUCCGUAGGUGAACCUGCGGAAG
rnacentral:rRNA from 1 species